CUAGCUGUACAUGAUGAUUCAGAUCGUGUACUAAUUCACAACUUCCUGUCACAUUAACGCACACAGUAAGUGCAUUCGAAAUACCUGUUAACGUUCCUUCUUUAUAACUGGAACGGGUCGUUUUUACUAUUCUCUGACUUUGUUCUGCCAGUAGUAAGAACUUCAAUGUCAACAUUUUGGUACAUAUAUAGGACGUCAAUAUAGGCUCCCACCAUGGGGAGUGCUGCUACUGAGAGUCUGUUAUCAGCAGCUAUGAGUGGAGAAACAAAUAAACUCAGACGAUGUAUACAACAGGGAGCCAACGUCAAUGCUAGGGAUAUACAAUUAUUGUUUGCCAGGACUCCAUUGCACUAUGCUGCUGGUAGUGGCUAUGAUGCUAUCUGUGAUAUACUAAUCCAGGCAGGUGCAGGGGUAAAUGCUGUUGACAAGAAUGGGAGGAGUCCUUUACACUAUGCUGCUAAGAGUGAUCAUGUGCACAUCUGUAAAGCCAUGCUACAAGUAUCGGCAUUGCUAGAGCAGACAGAUCAGUUUGGUGAUACCCCUUUGUUAACUGCAGCUUCUUGGGGAAGUAGUGGUGUUUGUCAAGCAUUGAUAUCAGCAGGAGCUAAUGUCACAGCUAAAAACCAGCAUGGUCAUAGUGUUUUACAUGAGGCAUCAGCUGCUGGCCAUGUGGACACUUGUAAGACACUCAUUAAUGCAGGAGCUAGUCCAUUUGCAUUGGAUCAGUUGUGCAAUACACCACUGCACUCUGCAGUUUCCAGUGGUAAAAUCAACACAUGUCGUAUAUUACUGGAUAAAGGAUCAGAUGUCAAUGCACGUAAUAAGGAUGGUAAUACUGCGCUACACAUAGCCUGUACACAGGGACAUCAUCAAAUGUGUCAACUACUACUUGACCGAGGUGCUGAUAUUCUUACUAAGAAUCAGCUUGGUGAUACAGUGUUACAUGCAGCAGUAACUAGUGGCAAGCUGGCAACCUGUGCAAUCAUCCUACAGAAUCAAGCUGAUAUCAUGUCAAGAAAUAAAAAUGGUAAUUGUGCGUUACAUGUAGCAGCUAGUCUCGGCAAUGCAGACAUAUGUCAUUUACUCAUCACAGCUGGUUGUGAUGCUCUACUCAUUAAUAAUGAGGGUAAGCCACCGAGUGGUCUGCUACCUCGUAAGGCGGGUAAAGCUGCUAAGAUCAUCACUCAAGCAGAGAAGAAGCAAAAGUAUGACAAGUUAGUCCAAAUGGGAACUGUUCCCAUUGAUGUGGUCAAACUCUUCUUAAUUGGUGAUCCGAAAGCUGGUAAAACCACACUGCAGAAGGCACUCAUCAAGAAGCCUCACUGGUGGUUGCCUGGUAACUGGCAGAAUUUACCAAGUGGUUACCAUGACUACGAGGCAACGCCAGGGAUUGAGCUGAGUAAAUGCAAUGUACCCGGAGCUGGAACCUUUGCAUUCUGGGAUUGCGCCGGGCAACUAGAGUAUCAUGUGACCCAUGCUAUGUUCCUCGGGGCACAGAACUGUAUUUAUGUACUUGUGUAUGACAUCACUAAACAAAACCAGUAUGGAUCGUUACGAAGAUGGUUGGCCUUUGUGAAAGCUGGACAUGAUUACGCCUACCAGACUAAACCAGACGUUGUUCUUGUUGCUACUCAUCUAGAUCAACUGACCAGCAACAUGGAGGGUAAAGCUCUGGCUGCAUCAAUGCUGAAGCAGAUUCAAGCAGAGUUUUCCAAUCAUCUCAAUGUAUUGAAUGAUGUCAUCGCUAUAAAUAGCAUGAAGUAUGGAUCUAAGGCGAUGGUUCGACUAAGGGACACACUCGAGUCUCUUGCAUCUCGUAUUAAGGGGAGUCGAGUAAUGCCUCGUCUAUGUGAAGAGAUCAGACGAUUGAAGCAUACUUGGUAUCAAACCAACUAUCCGGUCAUUUCAUGGACACAGUUCUGUUGUAAAGUGAAGACUGUUAACAGAUCAGCUGAUGAUAGUUUGCAUCGAACUGCAGCUGUCUUUCUGACUGCAAUGAGUGAGAUCUACUACAAGAAGCAAUGUGAUGAAAUGGACUGGGUUGUAUUAGAGCCACGUUGGCUGUGCUACGACAUUAUUGGUCGACUGUUUGCAGGGGAUGACUUCCCUAGCAACAUCAGCCGUCUUGACAACAAGCAAUUGUAUUCAAUAUCAGAUAUAAGGGGGUUACUGCAAGAUCUAGCUGAUGCCGAUAUUCUUAUGGAUCUACUGCAACAUCUAGAGCUGGUGUUCCGCUAUGAUGACACGCGUUAUAUAAUACCAGCUCGGUUACCAAUGGAUUUAGAUCCUGUCGUUUGGAGUAAAGACCCACGUUUCACCGAGUAUUACGGGCGUAGAAUCGAAUGUAAAGACGACACUGAUAUAUUUUCCCCUGAUGUGUUUCCAUGUCUACAAGUGCGCAUCAUGAGGUGUUUCUGUGAUCUUCAAAGUGGAGUGUGCAUCUCUAGACACUCCCUUAAGUUUUCUCGAGACAUCGAGGGGCUAGUUCAACUGACAAGCUACCAGAGAGCGAUUCAUAUCUGUGUUCGUGGUAGAUCUGGAAAAGUAGAUCGCAGUGCUUGUUACACACAACUAGAGUAUGUGUUAGGUAUGGUGUUGAGUGAAAUUGAGCAUCGCUCACCAGGAACCGCUAUCAACAUCUGUUACCUCAGCCCAAGAUCCUUGCUACAGCAUAACGACUUGGAAGAUAUCUCCUUCUACACCGAGGCUGACAUCCAGUCUGCUAAGCAUCGUGUGGUUGUCCAUCCUAAGACUAGGAAUACUGAACUAGUAACUGAUGUACUGUGUGUGGGUUAUAAUAGCACCUUCCUGAGACGUGAUGGAUUAGAGUGUAGUAGUACUUGGCUGCUGGAAGAAGAUCUGGUAGCUCUCUGUCGAUGUUUGGAUAUUAUUCAUCCUCUAGGGCAGGACUACAGAGGUCUGGCAGAGGCGCUGGGUGUAACCGAGUCUGAAAUGGACUACAUGUAUCAUAUCUGUGUACGCAGAGAUACCUCACCAACGAGGGCGCUACUUGAGCGAGUUCAGCCCAGUGUAGGUCAUCUGAGAGCUAUUUGUAAGCACCCUGGUCUGGUAGGCUGCAAAGAGGCAGUUAAUGUCAUUGAUAAAAUGCUGCAACGAUUAGGACAUCAGGUGCCUGAUAGUGAUGCUAGCUUCAAUGUUGAGGAAAAGUACAAACCGGAUCAGCUCAGCAUUAAGGUCCUGGUCUGGAGAGAGGACUUGAGAUAUGAGGCUGGUGCCUUACGCGAAGUCUUAAACCCUGAAUCCUUACUAGCUUUGAACCCAUCAUUGUUUGAUAUCAGCGAUAGAGAGGAGAUUGAAGCCACUCAGAGGACAUUAGGAAGGACUAAAGCAGUGGAUAGGAUGCUCUAUAAAGUUAUAAGGUCACAGGAUAUGCAGUUGUAUCGUGACUUCAGUGUGGCUUUGGAAGGACAACAGAAUACUACAAAAGGUGUUGAGACAUUGACGGAGAUUAUUCCUAACGCACAAGGUUCUUACAAAGAUUAUAGUAUACCUGCUGCUAAGCCGUUACAAUCACUCCUUGAUCCUCACAAUAACUACUGUAUGUGGAAGGACACUAAGGGAUUGGCAUACGUCUUAAACAACAGCGAUUUCAAUGGUAGACGAAGGAAGGGGUCAGAGGUUGAUCUUGGUAAUAUAUGUCAUGUUCUUCAAGAACUAGGAUAUGUACUACAAGUUCACACCAAUUUAACUGCUAAGGAGAUAUCAGACAGCCUAGGAAGAUUUAGGAGCAGGUUUGAAUGUGAUGACUACUGCUCUGCGGUUGUUGUAUUAAUGAGUCAUGGUAAUACUGGAGUAAUUAAAGGAAUUGAUGAAACCAGCAUCCAACUCAGAAAUAUCUACUCAAUGUUUGAGGGUCACCGAUGCCCCGCUCUCCUCGGUAAACCUAAGCUGUUCUUCAUACAAGCCUGCAGGGGAGAUCAAAGCAUUCAACUAGUGGAAGCAGACAAUGAUAUUUGUGUGUCAGAUACUGAAUGUCACUCAGAUGAUGAUGAUGAUGAUGAUGAUGUUUCUAUCAAUGCUGAUUAUUCAUUUGCUAAUGACCUACCAGCUAAUGCUGACAUGUUCUUUGCCUAUGCGACAACUGAAGGAAGUGUGUCUCUCCGCAGUCAGGUCGAAGGUUCUUGGUUCAUCCAAGCAUUAUGUGAAGUGUUUAUACUAAGUGCAUCGGAGGAUAGUAUAGACACUCUUAUGAAUAAGGUUACAAACAGAGUGACAGGUCAACGAGGGGAGAUUCGAGACCCUUUGACCCGGAAGUUAAAGACGGCUUCACAGACCCCAGAAUGCAUCAAACGUAUGCGUAAGAAUAUGUACUUCCUGCCUAAAUAUCCCAACACUACACCCAGAGGGUCCACUUGGCUUUAGUUAAAGCUAUACAGGAAUGAAACCAGUCAUUGGAGAUUUACCUUCAAAGUUUGCUCUUCCGGCGUCUGCACCUUCACCCUCUGUUCUACCUCUCCCUGGUGCCUCCUGGCAAGGACCUCCAGAGGUUUCUCACGGAGAGGAAUUGGCUGAUCAGCUGAAUGUCAAAUGUAACAUGAACCCUAUGGUUGGCAUUGGACUUAGACGUGGACUCGGCCGUGGUUUUAUAAGAAACACCAAUCAGUGACAAGAAAAGAACUAUCCAUCCCCCAAAAAAAUCUGGUUUUUUUUUUUUGUUUUUAAAGAAAGUUCAAUGAGUUAUUAAAGGACACCGAGUGAGAGAGCAGACUGCUCCUCAUCUUUGACUUCAAUUAAAUAAACAUUCAUUUAUGUUUCAUUUUUGUUAUCCAACCAUGCCCUAUCUUUUAUCAAGCAUUCGCCACUUUCAAGCUAAAAAGACACUGUACACCUUUGUUAAAAAAAACACCCUUUUUGCACCAAUGUGUUUGCUUUCAGAUGCCUAAAAAGGGGCUUCAGGGCUGUGUAUUUUUUGAUCAGUGUUUUGUUUUUCACCUUCAUCUAUUUGAUUUUUUUUACACUGUGCAUUUGCCUUGAGCUAUAUUUUUAAUAAUUAAUUUGUUGUGUUCGGCUCUCCCGCAGACCUUUUAGUUCACAGAUGUGAACUUGCUAUUCUGUGUCUUUUUGGAGCAUUGCCUACAAGCUCUGCUUCUAAAAUGGAUCCCUAUGCGGUGUCAGUUUUUCUUCUUGAUAUAUCGUUACUGUAUUCUUUAGUGAUGUCUUUUAUUUGUUAAUACUGUGAACAAAAAAUUAAACCUUGAACCUUGAAUUGUGUAACCUUCAUUUUUUAUGCUAAGCAAGAUGUUUCUACAACACAACCAGCCAAAGAUUGCAAUCCAUACAUGUAGUACACGAGAGUUAGCUGGUCUCUACUCUUACAACGGGAAACCAGCAAAA